rnacentral:misc_RNA from 1 species
AGAAACGAUAAUGAGGCGGGCUGAGAUCUCUCGGGGUUACAGCCUUGCUGAAUUAUUCACCCUUGUCUUUUGCGUACUUCUUGUUUCCUUGGUGGGUUCGCCCACCACUAGGACAAACAUAAACCUUUUGUAAUUGCAAUCAGCGUCAGUAACAAAUUAAUAAUUACAACUUUCAACAACGGAUCUCUUGGUUCUGGCAUCGAUGAAGAACGCAGCGAAAUGCGAUAAGUAGUGUGAAUUGCAGAAUUCAGUGAAUCAUCGAAUCUUUGAACGCACAUUGCGCCCUUUGGUAUUCCAAAGGGCAUGCCUGUUCGAGCGUCAUUUGUACCCUCAAGCUUUGCUUGGUGUUGGGCGUCUUGUCUCUAGCUUUGCUGGAGACUCGCCUUAAAGUAAUUGGCAGCCGGCCUACUGGUUUCGGAGCGCAGCACAAGUCGCACUCUCUAUCAGCAAAGGUCUAGCAUCCAUUAAGCCUUUUUUCAACUUUUGACCUCGGAUCAGGUAGGGAUACCCGCUGAACUUAAGCAUAUCAUAG